UUACGUGUUAGGGUUCGAAGGAUUUGGAGAGAAAAACCUGCUGACUCUUUCCAAGACUUUAUUCACUAGCACUAGGUCCAACACAAAGCACUAGGUUUAAACACUAAGCACUCACGAUGUCCUCAGUCGUAGCCAAUGUCGUAGGUUUCGCUGGUACCACUCUUGAUCACUAGUUUUCACUCUUGAAGUCGCCUCGAAGAUCGCUCAAACUGAACU
rnacentral:misc_RNA from 1 species